rnacentral:rRNA from 1 species
GACGAACGCUGGCGGCGUGCUUAACACAUGCAAGUCGAACGAUGAAGCCGGAGCUUGCUCUGGCGAAUUAGUGGCGAACGGGUGAGUAACACGUGAGUAACCUGCCCUUGACUCUGGGAUAACUGAGGGAAACUGUAGCUAAUACCGGAUACGACCCUCGGAGGCAUCUCCUGGGGGUGGAAAGAAGUUCGGGCAAGGAUGGACUCGCGGCCUAUCAGCUAGUUGGUGAGGUAAAGGCUCACCAAGGCGACGACGGGUAGGCGGCCUGAGAGGGUGACCGGCCACACUGGGACUGAGACACGGCCCAGACUCCUACGGGAGGCAGCAGUGGGGAAUAUUGCACAAUGGGCGCAAGCCUGAUGCAGCAACGCCGCGUGAGGGAUGACGGCCUUCGGGUUGUAAACCUCUUUUAGCAGGGAAGAAGCGAAAGUGACGGUACCUGCAGAAAAAGCACCGGCUAACUACGUGCCAGCAGCCGCGGUAA